GGAGGUGGCAUCUUGGGCCCCAGCGUGGAGCCAGCACUUCCCAGGCUGCCUCCCACCUCCUCCACAACGAGUGGAGCAUCCUGCUCCUUCCCUCACUGAGGUGGUGACGACUUCCCCAUCCUCCUCAUCCUCCUUCUCAGCAUCCUGCAAAGCAGAGGAGACCGUACAUGAAGAAGACAGUGCUCUACACCAGGCUGGGAGCGUUCAAGUGCUGCAGAACCGCACGUGGAAUUAGGUUUCUCUUGCACAAGAGGACAGCCCUUUGCCAAGCUUUACUCUGGACCCUGAUCCAGAAGGUUUCCAAGGCUCUCAGCUGUAGGUCAUGGUUACACCCUACAAGCCAGCUUGUCUCAAUAUAAACCCCCCAGUUCCCUUGGCAGACGAUCCCUCCAUGUUUUGAGAAGCUGGAAGUGUUGCUGGCUUUGAUCCUGCCUGGUCAUAAACCACAAAAUCUUAAAACACAAAUGUGUGGUCAGAGAAAUAGAAGGCUUUUAUGGGAGCCCAAGAACUAAAAAGGGGUGAUGUGAAAGCCACGGUCCCUAGUGAUGCUGAGCUUUGGGGAAGAUGUGGGUGCUGUAGCAGGACCGUCCCUACAUGGAAUGUGAACCUGGAAAACAGCCGUGGAGAUGGAUGCCAAAGGAUAUUCCCAGAGAGGACAUUAAAGAGUCAAUCUGUCAAAAUCUAGAGAAUAACAAGCUGCUCUCAGCAGACUUCUUACUUGUAUCGCUCUUGCUCUCUAUUUUCACACAGCCGCCCUCCUGCCAGCGCCACCCUUCAUAGAUGCUUUGCUCUUCUGAAGCUGGGAGGAGCACAGGGAAAGGGUGGCUUUGCUCCUGCUGUAGUUGUUGGAUCCAGGAUACCAAAACUGACCUUGCAUUUUCAUGGUUGCAUUUACGAGUUUAGUACUAUUCAACAUGCUGCUUCUUUCUGUAUGUUAUGAACUACAAACUCUCUUUUAAAAGCCAAAGAAGAAGAAGCUUUAGAAGAUCCCUCAUCCUUGCUUACCACAGCACUCUUCUUUGUUUGUCUGUGGCUGCCCCCACUCCAGAGGGAACUGUGCUCCAUCCAACUGUGAGAUGUGGUCCGUCUGCUGGGGGCUGGCACAAGCAUCACUUUUUAGAUCCUCCAUUAAAUCUUUAUGGCACUCAAGCCGCAGAGGAACAUCUCCUGCCCACAUAGCGCGGUCCCAACCGAAGGCACGCAGGUAAUGGAAAGAAACCUCAGCUUUUCCCCCCCAAAAGAAGAAAUGUGGAAGUGAUCAUGCCUGAACCAACGUAUUGCGACACCUGCAAUCGCAAAUGAACCUCGCGCUGUUAAAAUAGGAGAUACUGUGUAAGACCCUGUGCCACUGCUGGUGCUGCUCAGCUGCCUGUGGCUCCGUAACACAGCAGAGGAAAGGUGAAGCAUGAAAUGUGCAUCUAUUUAUAUAAAUGAAAGAAGGAACGUUACUGGGUGAGCCCACAGAAGGAGUUAUCCCAGCACUACACCAUCCAUAGCUGGCUUCAGUAGAGCUAGGCCAAUGUACUCAACUCUCAGUCCACCAAGGUGCUGAGGUACAGACCAAGUGGCUAGAAGUAAAGUGGUUUACCAUAAAUAAUACCUUUCUGAAGCAUCCCUCUGAGCAAGGGCCACAGCAGCACACUGUUAACACACCUCAGCCCCCAGC
ensembl:lncRNA